ACUUGAAUGGCUUUUAUUCAACUGACAAUCGCCAUGAAAAUGUUAAAUUCGUAAAUACUUACUUACAAGUUCUAUAAAUUCAGGCGUAUAUUCCUCACGGUUAAACCAACCAAGGACUACCUGAGGGUCAUGCUUGAUGCUAAAGGCUGGAAGACAUAAGAAUAGGCAAAUGUAGCCGGGCUUUCUUACUUUGAUACAGCAGUAUAAGUGUAACAGGGUUUUUAGAGCAAGAUACUUUGUGUCAAUGAUACUGUAAAUCUGUAAAACAUUUUUUAUCAACCUGAAGAUAAUGAGGAAAAGGGAAAUGAUAGGAGAGUGCUCAAUCAAGUUGUUGCAAUAGUGUUAAAGUUUUUAUUA